AACGUAGGAGGCAAGCGUUAUCCGGAGUUACUGGGCGUAAAGCGCGUGUAGGUGGAUUGGUAAGUUACUUAUAAAAGCUCCUGGCUAAACUAGGAGAGGUUGAGUGAUACUGCCAGCCUUGAAUAGAGGAGAGGUUGACGGAAUUCCGCGUGUAGUGGUGAAAUGCGUAGAGAUGCGGAAGAACACCAGUGGCGAAGGCGGUCAACUGGCCUCAUAUUGACACUCAGACGCGAAGGCAUGGGUAGCGAACGGG
rnacentral:rRNA from 1 species